AAGAGAAAGCAAGAGGCACCAUGGCGAGGCAGGGGCAUUCGGUGGUGACCAAACCAAGCAGGAGCGACGAGGUGUUGGACGCCGAUGAACAGAUCAAGAUCGCAAAUGAGGUUAGGGCUCACUUUGAUAGCUUGGCCCCAAAACGACACACCAAACCCAAUCGGAGCGAACAAGACAUGGCGGAUUCAGCCAUGCCCCUUCUCCGCCACGACAUGCCCGAGCAUGACCGGUUAUUGUCUCUCCAGUCUCAAUCUUAUUUUGUGUCCGGUCAUCGCGUAGUUUUGCAGGAUGAAUAUGUAGAGACGCAGUAUUACAAGGAGCUGGCCUCCGUUGAUAAACAACAUCACACGACAGGAAGUGGAUUUAUAAGAAUGGUGAGAGGAGGAGGUGAAGAAGAAGAAGGAUAUGGUGGUGUGAUUCGGUUGGGGAGUGGCCAUGUCGGCGAAGGCCUUGUUGAGAAACGUACUUUUAGGAGCAAUCCUGCAACAAAUGACUGGAUAUCUACUGUUGAAGAUGAUGAUCGGGUGUUCAUUUCUUCGAAGCCAAAUCGAAGCGAGAGUUCUUAGAAGACAGGAAGUGGAUUUAUAAGAGUGGUGAGAGGAGGUAAAGAAGAAGAAGGAUAUGGUGGUGUGAUUCGGUUGCGGAGUGUCCAUGGCGGUGCUGGCCUUGUUGAGAAACCUGCUUUUAAGAGCAAUCCUGCAACACAUGACUGGAUCACUACUGUUGAAGAUGAUGAUCAGGUGUUCAUUUCUUCAAAGCCAAAGCGAAGCAGAGGGUUCUUAGAAGUUUAUUACUCUAGCAACAAGUGAAUCAUCGUCUCAAAGUUGAUAAGAGACUUACUGCGAUUCCCAUCUUCCACAAAUCCACAUCAUAGUGAGGAAUCUUUCAGUUGGCAAUACAAUACGAGCUCAAUUGGUUCUUUAAAUCCUAACUGAUCCUUCGAAAAGAAGGAAGAAAAAAAUAUAAAAAAAUUUAGUGUUUUCUCUGUACCUGUCUUGCCAUGGGGAAAGUCGUGGAUCGCAUGCCUUGCAUAAAGUCUUUCUAUUUUUUAGAAAUUUUUUAAUUUCAGUCUGUUUGAAAGAAACAUCUGUAGGUUGAUGAAGUUAUUUAUUAUUUUUCGUAUAACAAAAAAAAAUGAUAUUCAGCAUUAGAAAAAUUAAAU